GGCAAGCCAUGAGGACCCAAAUCAUUCAAAAACCUCCCUCAGAAGGUAAGUUUUAUUUUUUUCCAGAAAUUAAGCUGCAGCUGAUUACAAAUGACAACUGUAAAUAUGCAAAUUAUACUUGCUAUUAAAAGGGUUCCUGCCUUCCUGAAACAAAAUACUGUGUAAGUCCAAUAAUAUGCAGAUGUAGACACAUAAUAAAUAUUGCUUGAUGCAGAAAACUGGUGAGAUGAAUUUUCUAGGUUCCAAGAAAAGCAGAAAAAUAAGCUUGGAAACUUUAAAUCCAGGAACUGAAAAUUAAUUUUGAUUGAACUAAUGUUGAAUUUAUGAUCUUUUGGGAAUGCACUAAGCUGAAUUUACCUCUGUAUUUUUUUUUGAGGCAAAUUGAUAGUACAGAGAUCUCAGAGGAGUGUUUAUAUCACUAAACAAAAUUCUCAAAUAGAAACUUAAAAAUACAACUGAAAAAUUAGUUGCAAACUAAGUUUAUAUUCUCAUCUAAGUACAUACUCUACUCUCUUCCACUAGAAAAUAUUUCAUGGAAACAUGGGAAAACAGGAGCGGGGAGGGGCCCUAUGGCUGUCUAGUGUAAUUCUUUAAUGUUACAGAGGAUGGAACGAAUCCAGAGAGGUUCAAUGACUUGCCCAGGACCAUUCAAUGUGUUAGAUACAGCAUGGACUAUAAUCCAGCAGAGUAAUCAAGUACUGUUUUCAUGACACCAUUAGACCCAUCUCAAUAUUUUAAUGGUCAAUGUUAUAUGUUAACUUGAGUGGGCCACAGGGUGCCCAGAUAUUUGGUCAAACAUUAUUCAUAGAGUGUCUGUGAGAGUAUUUCUUUAUGAGCUUGCCAUUGGAAUCCACAGACUCAGUAAAGGAGUCUGCUCUCUCUGGUGGCACUUAACUAACCAGCUGAAGGCCUGAGUGGAACCAAAAGGCUGCAAUUCCCUCAAGUAAAAGCAAAAGAGAAUUCCUCCUGGCUUACUGCUUGAGUUGGACUGAUCAGUUCUUCUUGGAACUUGGGCCUGCCAGCUUUUGGAACAGAACUUACACCACUGGCUCUCCUGGUUCUCAGGGCUUCAGACUUGUCCUGAAACUAUACCAUGGCUCUUCUGGGUCUCCAGCUUGCCAACUGCAGAUCUUGAGACUUCUCAACCUCCAUAAUCAGGUGAGACAAUUCCUUAGAAUAAAUCUGUUUCUCCACCCCAUCUUGUUGGUUCUCCUUCUCUGAAAAACCCUAAUUUUAAUAUUAAACGAAUCUUUAGCUCAAUAGAGUAAAGAAAAUGGUCUCAGUGGGUAUGGUAGACAUUAUGCACUAGCUACCCAAAAUCCAUUUAACACCUCUCUUUUCUCUUGACUUCCUCUUGCAUAAAGGCUAAAAAGCUAAAAUACAGUUCCUAGCCUCUUCUAUAGCUAAAGGUGGCCAUAUGACACCAUUCUGAACAACAAAGUAAAUGACAUCAUUUUUGAGCAAUAAAGUGUAGGUAGAUAUCCUUAGGAGGUCUUCCCUUUGCUCUUUGCCUCUUAUUACCCCAUCUUUUUUCUCCAGAGCUUAGAUACACUGACUGGGGUUUGGAAGCAUCAGUCAUCUUCAGACUGUAAGGACAAACCCACAUGCUAGGGAUGACUAUGGAGGAAGACAGAAGGAUUUCAGGUCCAUGAUGAGAUCUAUGAGUCGCUGCUGUCAUCUUGGAUUACUUCUCCAGAAUUUUUAGAACAUGCACCCCACCUACUAAAGCUACGUUUAGUUGGGCUAUCUGUUAUUUAUAGCCAAAUCCUUUCCUAAUAUACUAUUGCAGCCCAGAUGUCACCUGUUACAAUAAAACUAAGAUCACUAUGACCCCCAUUUUAAUAAAAGAUCAUCAUUCAUUCACUCAAGAAUUUUCUGAAGAUCCACCAUAUUCAUGGCACCUAAGAGGAACUAAAUUCAAGAGCCUUCUCAUUUCCAACCAAGGAUGCUGGUGGAAAGCUACCUUGCUAACAUUCCAGAUCAUGGUCUGGGAGGAAUCCCAGGGCAGUUUCCCAUGAUUUCUGUCAUUCUUGCCUGUGGCAAAAGGCUAACAAUAAAGUAGAUUGAAUCUUCAGGAGCUAUUAGAAUAUUCAACUUUUCCCACUUAAUUCCCUUAUUUUCAAAAGUUCUUCUUAAGGCAAAAUGGAUCAUGUUCAUGGACUCCUGCAGCAUUAGAAUGAGCUCAGGGUCCUUUCUCAUGCAGUGAGAGCAACUACCUCUCUUGAUUCAUGUUGCCAAUGGGAGUUACAGUGAGUUGUGGUAUACUGGCAGGAGCAUUAGGUUUAGUCAUGACAUCUGGGUGUCAGACUUGGUUUUGCCACUUUUUCCUUUAAGUCCCAGGGGUAAGUCCUGGGAUAAGUCUCAGAGGCAUAUCUCUGAACCUUUCCGAGUUUCACUUCCUAAUUUACUUAUAAUUACUCAGACCAAGAAAGAUAACAAUUACGAAAGAAUUCUAGUGAGGUAAACAUUCUUCCAAAGUAAGAUUUCUUUAGACAAUCUGAUUAUGUGAAAUAUUUCAUAUUGGACCUAAAAAUAAGUAGGUCCAACAUGAAAAAGGUAUAUGAGUAACAGAAGAAAAGUCCAUUCAUUAUCUUCAUGGCAUUUACUUUGUCUCUCCUUUCUCAGAGUAAAAGUUGUUACAUAAGUGAUCUCAAUCUAAUAAUGUGCUGCAGUGGAAAAGCCUUAUGGAGCAAAUGUUAAAGAAACAGAGAGACAUCAUCAAGAUGGCUGACUAGAGGCAGCUGGCACUCAUCUCCUCCACCAAAAAGAAGGAAAACAGUCAGCAGAUAACCACAGGUUAAACAGAGCAUCUAAGAGGGAACAAUGGAAUUCAGCACAAAAGGGACAGGGACUCUCCAAGGCACAGAGAAAGAGGGAAGAUAAGCAGCAGUCUCAGCCGGGAUUGGCUCAGAGCCAGGAAAGGCUCCCCAUUGUAGGGAAAAGAAAGCGAAGUAUCCCGUGACUGAGCCUGUCGUCUGAUGCGUGUUGGUGAAGACCACAGGGAGCACUGGAGGUCAUUUAGUCAAGCCAUGGUAUUUACCAGGAGUCCAUCACUGGGUACAUGACACAGUCCUGUCUUAUGCAGGGACGGAGCAGAAGCAGUAAAAAACACAAUCGACUGUGCUCAAGGAACUUAAAAACCUCGUUUGUGAAAUAAGGUUGAUGUAUGAGGUCACACAGAACCAUGGAAAGAGCACUGGACCAGAAUCAGGAAAUCUAGAUUCUGGCUAAAAUCACUGCUUCAGACAGGUGCGAGGAAAAGAGCAGUGAAGAAAAACAAAACAAAAGUUCCUGCCUCCGUGGAGCUCAAGUUCUAGUUGAAUACACAGAUUUUUUAAAAAACCCAAUGAUAGAAAACUGUCACAUGUAGAUAAAUGCCAAGGAGAGAAACAAGGUCCUUACAGAGAAAAAAAGUUGUCAAGAAAGCUCUUUAGGAUGAGUUGACAUUUAAGCAAUGACCUGAAGGGACUGCUGAAAUGAACGUGUGUAUUUAUAGGCGAUAAAGGCUCAUAUCAGGAGAAAGAGCAAGUGCGAAGGCCCUACGCUAGGAAUGCCCGUGGUAACAGAGGAACAGCAAAGAGGCUAGUGUGACCAAAGCGGAGCAAGAAAGUAGGGGGCAAAACACGAGCUCAAAGACGGAGUGGGAUCACUUACGGCCCUACUGCCAUAUUUGGGUUUUGCUCUGAAGAAGAUAGAAAGCCACUGGAUUUUGAGCCAAGGCAUGAAGGAGUCUGACUUCUGCUUUAAAAGGAUCAUUCUGGCUGUUGUGUAGAGAAUGGGCUAUAAAAAGGUGAAUGGAAGUGGAGAAAAUGGUUAGGAAGUCACUGCUAUAGCCCAGGUGAUAGACAAUGGUGACUCGGAUGUCGGUAGCAGGAGAACUGGGUAGCACAGCCAACAGGCCUUACUUACUGCGGGACGGCUUGUGGGGAAUGAAAGGAGUCAGGAUAAUGCUCGAGUUUUUGGCCGAAGCAAGUGGAAGAUCAUAGCUACCAUUUAUUAAGAUGAGGAAGAAUUUAACAGGAACAAAUUUGGUUACAGGGAGUUGAGAGCAAGUCCAACAGUUCUGUUUUGGUUAAGUUAAAUUUGAAAUCCAAGCCAAGACUAAGAAUGAACAAUUGGAGUUCACAAGAGGAGUUGCGCCUAGAGAUAUAAAUUUAGGAUGAAACAUGACAAAGGCCAUCAAAAAACAAAAAAAGGAGAAGAGGCUAAACAUUUGAGAUGAACCAGAGACUACAAAUGGAUGCUGACUUGUUAUAAAGUUUCUGUAAAGGAAAAAGUGAUGACGAAUUUCUCAAAUCAGGUUUACAUGAAAGAACACGAAGUAUGAAAACACACUGAGUCCUCUGAGACUCUUCCACUGCUCCAAACAGCUCUUACAUGAAAUCUAGUGCACUCUAGCAUGAUUUGGCUUUUUUCCCUCUAAAUAUAUAAAAUUGCAGUUUCAAAUCAGGAGCAAAAUUAUACAUAUAUAUUUGUAAACAAAUGCUAAAUUGCUUUAAGGACAACUAUUUUGCAUUAAGCAGCAACAGUACAUUGUCUAUAUAUACUUAUGUAUAAAUUGGAUGGUAAAAAUAUAAGACAGAAAGUCCUACGUUUAAUUUUUGAAAUUUUAAACAUUUUUAAAUGUGUAUAAUUUGGGAAGGGAUACAAGUUUUAACAAAUAUUUUAAAGUAUAAUGAGAACUUUAGUUGAAAUAAUCCACCAACAAAAAAACCAGGUCAAACACAUCUGAUCUGUUAACUUCUGAAUCAAACCAGCAUGGUUUUUUCCUGGACUAUGAAGCAAAUUAACGGUUUUUUCAAAAUAGGAAAAAUCUUUAUCAGUUUUUUUCCAUCGGUUUAUUUCAUGGAUUCUGAUGGAAUGUUUAAGAAGGAAAAGCUAACAAGAGGAAAUGUCAGCUUGCUUGUCUCUUCCACUGGGAAACUCUUCCUGAUUUCCUAAGAUGACUUCCCUCUUUAGCAGCAUUUAUCAUACUGGAUCAUUAUUUACCCAUUUACUUGCCAUCAUACACAACUGGAUCGUAAAAUACUUGGGAGGGCAGACACAGUGUUUCAUUCAUCACUCUAGUCCUGUACCUGGCUCAAAGCCUGGCAAACAGAAGACACUAAUAAAUCUAUUUCCUUUUCUUAGAGACAAGGUCUCACUCUGUC
rnacentral:lncRNA from 1 species